GACGAACGCUGGCGGCGUGCUUAACACAUGCAAGUCGAACGGAAAGGCCCUGCUUUUGUGGGGUGCUCGAGUGGCGAACGGGUGAGUAACACGUGAGUAACCUGCCCUUGACUUUGGGAUAACUUCAGGAAGCUGGGGCUAAUACCGGAUAGGAGCUCCUGCUGCAUGGGGGGGGUUGGAAAGUUUCGGCGGUUGGGGAUGGUCUCGCGGCUUAUCAGCUUGUUGGUGGGGUAGUGGCUUACCAAGGGUUUGACGGGUAGCCGGCCUGGGAGGGUGACCGGCCACAUGGGGACUGAGAUACGGCCCAGACUCCUACGGGCGGCAGCAGUGGGGAAUAUUGCACAAUGGGCGGAAGCCUGAUGCAGCAACGCCGCGUGCGGGAUGACGGCCUUCGGGUUGUAAACCGCUUUCGCCUGUGACGAAGCGUGAGUGACGGUAAUGGGUAAAGAAGCACCGGCUAACUACGUG
rnacentral:rRNA from 1 species